AUUGAACGCUGGCGGCAUGCCUUACACAUGCAAGUCGAACGGUAACAGGUCUUCGGAUGCUGACGAGUGGCGAACGGGUGAGUAAUACAUCGGAACGUGCCUAGUAGUGGGGGAUAACUACUCGAAAGAGUGGCUAAUACCGCAUGAGAUCUACGGAUGAAAGCAGGGGAUCGCAAGACCUUGUGCUACUAGAGCGGCCGAUGGCAGAUUAGGUAGUUGGUGGGAUAAAAGCUUACCAAGCCGACGAUCUGUAGCUGGUCUGAGAGGACGAUCAGCCACACUGGGACUGAGACACGGCCCAGACUCCUACGGGAGGCAGCAGCGGGGAAUUUUGGACAAUGGGCGAAAGCCUGAUCCAGCAAUGCCGCGUGCAGGAUGAAGGCCUUCGGGUUGUAAACUGCUUUUGUACGGAACGAAAAGCCCCGGGUUAAUACCCUGGGUCAUGACGGUACCGUAAGAAUAAGCACCGGCUAACUACGUGCCAGCCGCCGCAGUAA
rnacentral:rRNA from 1 species